AUUGAACGCUGGCGGCAUGCCUUACACAUGCAAGUCGAACGGUAACGCGGGGCAACCUGGCGACGAGUGGCGAACGGGUGAGUAAUGCAUCGGAACGUGCCUGGUAGUGGGGGAUAACUGCUCGAAAGAGCAGCUAAUACCGCAUACGACCUGAGGGUGAAAGGGGGGGAUCGCAAGACCUCUCGCUAUCAGGGCGGCCGAUGUCGGAUUAGCUAGUUGGUGGGGUAAAGGCCCACCAAGGCAACGAUCCGUAGCUGGUCUGAGAGGACGACCAGCCACACUGGGACUGAGACACGGCCCAGACUCCUACGGGAGGCAGCAGUGGGGAAUUUUGGACAAUGGACGCAAGUCUGAUCCAGCCAUGCCGCGUGCGGGAAGAAGGCCUUCGGGUUGUAAACCGCUUUUGUCAGGGAAGAAAUCUUCUGGGCUAAUACCCUGGGAGGAUGACGGUACCUGAAGAAUAAGCACCGGCUAACUACGUGCCAGCCGCCGCCGUAACAC
rnacentral:rRNA from 1 species